CCGCCUGUAGGGGGUCCCGGUGGAUGUCCGUCCGACGGGUGACGAGGGUGACCCCAGACGAGGCGGCUUAAUUGGGAUGGGAACUGACUGGUGAGGCUUAAUCGUCGACCAAUGGGUCGAAUCUGCAUAAGGAAGGCAACCAGCACACACUCGCAGGCGGGUCGUGGAAACAUUUUUUUGUUUUUUCUCUUGGUCUGCCCCGCGUCGAAUUUUGAAGGCAGAAAAUGUCGGUAGGAGGCGAGCAUAACCAGGCCUAACUUAAACCUGUUAAAAGACAACCCGGGUUCGCAGCGCGAUUUUAAAAAACUAAAGUCAGAAACUCUAUCUACAUGCUGCAUAUGAUCAGUCCCAAAAAAUUUCGGAUUGUUCCAGGCACCGUCGAAUACCUGGAAAACGUGUUUAUUGUCAACUCUACAGGAUCGACCGAAGUCCAUGGAGUUGGGGGCGUUCGAUGUGCCCCAUAGCAGUGAGACGCCACUGUUUUUUUCGCCGUAUAAUUAUUAUGGUGGGACUGAAAAUGAACUUAAGCAAGAUGUGAUGGUGAUACAGUAUGGCUUAGAGAACUUCAAAAGUCGGUUCGCGCGUCGUGGUUCCAAAGCAGUAACUUUAGGUUCCCUACAUUUACAGAAUGUCGCAUUAAGUACUCAUUUUUUAAUUUGCAAUUUUUACAUUUCAUUUUUACUUUUUUUCUUACUCUAUACAAGGUUUUAAUAUAAAGUUUUUUUAGCAAUAAUAAAUGGGUAAUAAAAAAAUAACUCCAAAGAGACAAAAUUAGGUAGCAUUUCUAUUAUCUUUGGAAAUAACUAUUUUUU
rnacentral:lncRNA from 1 species